GCUGUUGCAAUGUCAUGCUGGCCUCUGCCGCCCAGGCUCACCGCAUUCCGUACCCCUCCCUCCCCCCAGCCUGAGUGAGCCAGAGCGCCCUAAUCAGCUGCUCCUUUAACCCCGAUCUGUCUGGGCAGGAACAGACACCCUCAGGCGACCUACACACAGAGACGAGGCCAAAUCCAAAGCUGAACCCCAACAGCUGUGCGAACAAAGAAGAGAAAGGGAAAUUUCUCCCAGCAGCCUCAGGAGCAGCAGAUUAAAUGUCCACAAAGAACUUCUCCACAAUAAACUUGAUGUACCCUGCAUCUGUGGAAUACGUGAAUAGACAACAAAUCAUCCCAAAAUUGAGGCAGUGGAAUUUGGGAGCAAUGAGGCUUUUACAGCACUGGGCACAGCAGCGUGAUAAGUUCAAGAUGGAUGAGAGGUCUGCAUUUCUUUGGUAUGACAUGGAAAAGGAGCAACUUUGAAAGGAUAAAUAACCCGAAAUGGAACUGCUGGAUCAUGUAGUAGUUCUACAUUAAAAGAUCCUUUGGCUGUUGUGUGGAGAAAGCAAUUUCUGGGAGAAGAGUGGAUGCAGAAUCAAACAUGGAGCCUGUUGAGAUGGUUCAGUUAAGACGUGAACUUAGACCAGGGAAGGGAAGUGAAAAUGGAAGAAAGUGAAAGCACUGGUUUUGAAGAUUGAACUAACAGACUUGAUGGGAAAGGAAGCAGUGAAGAAAAUGAAGAAAAUAAAGCUGACUCAUAAUUUUUGAGUUUGACCAACUGUGUGAUGAGAAUGACCAGAGGGUUGGAUAUGGGGGUGGACAUCAACAUCUAGUUUUUUGGAAAUAUAAAGUGUGAAAUGUCAAAGUUGUCAGAAGGAUAUAUGAAUUUGAAGCUUGGAAACAGCAACAG